CCGCUGCACUAACCGGCAUCCCUCUCUCUCAGCGCCUUCUCUCCGGCGUCUUGCCGCGCUACCGCUGCACUAACCGGCAGCCCUCUCUCUCUCAACGUCGAUCAGCGCCUCCUCUGCCUCGCGCUUCAUGGCCGCUACGACGUCCAACGAUCUUCUCCAGCCGAUUGCCAUCAAUGCAUCGACUCAGGCGUCUUGCCGCGCGGCCGCUGCACUAACCGGCAUCCCUCUCUCUCAGCGCCUUCUCUCCGGCGUCUUGCCGCGCUACCGCUGCACUAACCGGCAGCCCUCUCUCU
rnacentral:lncRNA from 1 species